rnacentral:lncRNA from 1 species
AGGAGAUCCCCGCUGCUCCACUUGAAAAACCUAGCUGAAAAUCGAGGACGCAGAGGUAGGUGGUGAAGUGGUAGUGGAGCAAAGGUUUGCGGUGAUGGUGAUAGAAACUUUUUGUUUUGUUUUUUUGUUUUUUUUUCAAGUGUCAAAAUUUGAGUCCAAGUAAGCGCCAUGUCAGUCUAAUAUUACCACAUAGAUGCCAUGUUAGUUUGCUGCUCAACGGAGGUGAAAAGUAUGGAAAAAUUGAACAAGCAUUUAAAUUCAGGGAAUUGAAGGUAAAAAUUGAAGUUCAUGGAAAGUCUUGAAAUUGGGCCAAAGUUCAUGGUUUUUUACGUAAUUAACCAUAAAAUGUAUGAUUAGGUAUUUU